GCGGGAUUUAUCCUAAAUGAUGCUUGCCAAGGCCAGUACAAAAAAUACAGAACAAGCUGCAAGACUCUAAUAUGUAUGGCAGGUUUCUGGAGCAGUGCAGUUCAGGAUCUGCAAGAUCAGGGUGUUCCCAUCCCAAUUAUUGUGCGUCUUUUUGAUGAUGCACUUCAAGUCUGUGAAGAGGUUUGUCAACAGACAUCUUUUGAUAUAACUGAAGCUUUGCAAAGUCAUCAAGACUCGAGCCCUCCAGCUAAAGAUUCUAACGGCGUCAAAGAGAACAGCAAAAGCAUCUCCAAAGGGAUUUCUUGUCAUCCAGAUGCUGAAUUGGACAUCUUGAAGAAGACUGAUCUUGUUGACGCUGUUGUUGCUGAUGACAUAUCAUGGUAUUUUGAUGGACAAAACCAGGAAGUUGAUGAUUCUACACCUUGGGGCGGUUUUGAUAUCCCUGGGGCGCAUGGUGAUAUCCCAGGGGUACCAGAGUAUAUCGCUGCAACUGAGGGACAUAUCCCAGGGACAGAUAAGAUGAAAACCCCAACCACCAAACUGCCAGAGGUAAAUACUUCCAGAAAUAUAAACUACCUUGAUCUAAAAAUCAGUCGAAAUGGAGAUGUAACAACUGGCAAUGAAAACUUAGACAAAAUUUCGUUACAUCCAGAAACUUGCAAGUCACAAGGGGGAAUUUUAGGUGCAAAAGCGAAUGUCAGAAAUAUGUCACCUCCCAGGGUAAACAUGGGGAAGCCGGAGGAAAGUGGAGAUUCUCAGUUUUAUCCUAAGAUUGAAGGAGAAAUCAGUUGUGGAAAAAAAACUUUAAGAACACCUCUAGAAUCAAUCGAAUCUUGGGAUGAAAGCCUUUCCUCGCGAAUGGAAGACCGAUGUGUAGAUGAAGAUGAAUUCGAAACAUGUCUUCCGGAAGCUGUUUCAAACACAGCGAAUGGAAAUAUCGCUACUAAACCACCAGUGUUAAACGAACAUAAUGAAGAUUUAAGAUCCCCCAGAUUUUUUGGCGAAAACUUCACCAACGCCUACACAGACACGAAUUAUACAAAGUUUCAAAAUGCUGGAGCGAAAUCUUUUGAAACUUUGAACAAAAUUAAUUUAAGUUCACUCCCUCUUAUUUCGUCGGAUGGUAAAGACAAGAAAGUAGACGACAAUUUCUUGCGUUCCCUCUCGGAGAAACUGGAAAGUAAGAAAGCAGGUGUACAAAGACGGGUGAAACUGUCAGAAAUUUUCAAGGGUAGCAGACAUUUUGUGAACAGUUCCAGUAACGGAGCCUCACCACAUUUAGCAGAUGUCGCGGAUAGACCUAACAGACAGCUUAAAAAAUUGUCUACUGACGUUACUCUUAGCAGGUCGAUACCAAAAACUGGUCAAGCAGGAAAAACCAGUUCGGUCGAUUCAACGUCACAUAAUAGGCAAACUUUAUCAGUUCAAGACAAGGUUAGUUCUUUUUCAGCUCAAGUCAAUUCAACUGAAAGAAAUAAGAGGUCGUUGUUUGAGCUUGGAAGUCACCUUUCUCAUGGUAAAGAUCUCGAAAUGAAACUUGCAGUUGAAGUAACAAAUUCCUUGUUCUUCUCUUCGAUAAAAACGUCACUAAAAGAUUUUGAAAUCCCUCUCAGAAUGAUUCAUACGGAGUUAGUUCUUGGUCCGUCGAGUUCUUUUUCUUGUAGAAUUGAUGGUCUUUUAUUGGAAAACACUUCAACUUUUCAGUUUUCGUCUUCCAAUCAGAAUCUUCCUACCUGCAAACUUCUCCUUGCUCUGAUUGAUGGAGAUGUUACGCCGGAAUUUCGCCAUGUGGGGUUGAACAACGAAUUGCAGAUUCACAGAAUUGUCAGGAAUGAAUAUUCAAAAUCUUCCGAUUUCAGUCAGGAAAAAGAAUGGUACCAAGGAGGUAUAGCCUCCCUCAGUAAACACAAAAUUGGUAUUCUUGUCGUCAAAGGAAUCAUUCAUGAUUCAAUGCUGGAUUAUUGUUCAUCGCACAACAUAACAGUGCUUCAAAACGUUUCAUAUCCAGUUCUCCAACUUCUUUCAUUUGCAACCGAUUCUGCGAUAAUUACCUAUCUUGCUGACUUAAGAAAGCAGGAUUUGGGAAGACCUGUUACCAUAGAAACGUGGGAACUUGGCUGGGCGCCAUGUUUAGUUAGACAAAGCAAGUUAAAAGGCAGCGGGGCUCGUGACGUCAGAGUGAUGAAGACCUGUCAGUAUGUUCUUGUUAGAGAAGUGUUCGAGGCGAGUUCGGGUUGCAAAGAUUUCAACAGUCCUUUACAGACAGUACUUCUCUGUAGCCCUUGUAAAGAUGUUCUCUGUGAUAUGGAGGAAAGGUUCUGGAAUUCGAUCUAUCGUUUGAAAAAUGCCCUGUCCUGUGGCCGAGUUCUACCUGGAGCGGGUGAAAUUGAAGCCGCUUGUAUCCGACGACUGACCGUAGAAAAUGAUACUGCACCGUCGUUCUCUUUCAAUCCUCUCUCGGGAUGGUUACAAGAAAGCAUAGAGGUGUUCAGACCUUUGGUGUACACUGCAUUUGCCCAAGGACUCAAAGACUUUUUGUGCAGCGUUCUUCUCAACUCUGGAAACUUUACUUCACACAGCGGAGCAUCUAGCUAUGUUGAAAAGUUAGUCAACGAAGGUCUGACACUGGAUGAUCUUGAAAGAUUUCAAGACGAUCAUUCUGAUGAUCAUCGAGGACAACCUCUGAGAGCUGAAGGAAUCAAAGGCGGUCACGCAAUGGAUCGCGUUCCUCCGCGCGAUCCCGCGGGAUUCUCCACCGAUCAUUUCCGAGAUCUCUUUGACUCGAAGCAAGAGACUCGCAAAGUCAAGAGCCAUGUCUGGGAUAAUUACACAGCUAAGAAAGAAGCAUGGCGGCGCGCUGUGGGUGUCGUAAGAAUUCUUCUUCAGUCGGACAUGUUUGUAGAGACAGGAUUAAGGCAAAGCAAAAGCGAAAUAGCUCUCUUUUAAGGGGAAUUUGGUAGAACCGACAAAGCAUUAUUGUAUUUUCAAUGAAGAAUCGUGAGUAAACGGUGAUUCCUAUGAUCUGUCUUCAUUUCGCUCUGUGAUGGGUCCGGAAAACUCCGUAUAGAAUGUCUGUGACUCAGUGUGCGGAACAUUCAGUUUUUGUGUUUAAAUAAAAGCGCACUUUGCUUUUUUUUCCUACAAAAAAUAAAUCCAAUUAUCCGUGUAAUCGUGCGUGAAAAUGACGCGUUCCGUGUGAUUACACAUGCUGAGAGCGUAUUCCUCUGUACUUAUACACUUCCAAAUUUUAAUGUGACGUGUGUGUUGUCUUCCUAGUGUUAAAAUUGCGCGGCUGUGAUCCAGUCACGUUCGAGAAUUCUAUCAUGGUUGUCAUUAACACAGGAAAUAUACGUUUUGGCUGUAACCAUGGUUGACCUUUCUUCGGUUUCUAGGCGCUUCUGUCUAUGGAUUGGGGCGAGUGAAUGGGUGAUGACGUCAAAACGUGUACAUUUGUGCGUCCUUUAAUCUUGUCGCUUAUGUGAUCUUCUUUAACACGCCGUGUGGGAGUUGAAUCAAAAUUGAAUUUAAAAACUCAGAAAGGUCUGUAGCAGCAUUCUUUGUUCCUUGCCGUUCCUCGGAAACUGAUAGUUUUGAAUAUAUCACAUAAACACCGCCGCUGGAAAGAGAGAGGUAGAUUUUAAUUACUACAAAACGUGUAUGGCUGGACGAUCCGGUAGUGAGUGCUGAAAAUUGAUGUAAGAACAAGUGAUGCAGAACUAGAGUUGUACAAAAGGAAAAUUUUCAACGAGUUAUCUGGUUCUGAAAGUCCAACAAAGGUAGAGACGAUAUCUGAGGACAUCCAGACCCAAAGUGAAGGAACA